GAUGAAGGACGUGAUAAGCUGCGAAAAGUCACGGGGAGGUGCAAAUAACCUUUGAUCCGUGAAUCUCCGAAUGGGACAACCCGAUAUCCUGAAGGGAUAUCACCUUACUAAUGUAAGGGGCUAACGCAGGGAACUGAAACAUCUUAGUACCUGCAGGAAAAGAAAAUAACAAUGAUUCCCCCAGUAGUGGCGAGCGAACGGGGAAGAGCCCAAACCGCUUAUGUUACGGCAUAAGCGGGGUUGUAGGACCACAACGUUGCAAGAAAUUUCGUGAGAAGAACGAUCUGGAAAGUUCGACCACAGACGGUGACAGUCCGGUAUUCGAAGCGAAACGAAGCAUAGUGGCAUCCUGAGUAGCGCGGAACACGAGGAAUUCUGCGUGAACCAGCCGGGACCAUCCGGUAAGGCUAAAUACUCCCGAGAGACCGAUAGUGAACCAGUACUGUGAAGGAAAGGUGAAAAGCACUUCGAACAGAAGAGUGAAAUAGUACCUG
rnacentral:rRNA from 1 species